UACGUAGGGUGCAAGCGUUGUCCGGAAUUAUUGGGCGUAAAGAGCUCGUAGGCGGUUUGUCGCGUCUGCUGUGAAAACUCGGGGCUUAACCCCGGGCCUGCAGUGGGUACGGGCAGACUAGAGUGCGGUAGGGGAGACUGGAAUUCCUGGUGUAGCGGUGAAAUGCGUAGAGAUCAGGAAGAACACCCGUGGCGAAGGCGGCCCACUGGGCCGGUACUGACGCUGAGGCGCGAAGGCGUGGGGAGCGAACGGG
rnacentral:rRNA from 1 species